rnacentral:lncRNA from 1 species
UCAAUGUGGCAAAGAGGGCCACUGGAAGAAGAAUUGCAAGGAGUAUCUUACAACCGUGAAAUCAGCAAAUAUUGCUAAAGAUUUAUAUAUGAUACAAACUAAUUUAUAAUUAAAUACUUCAAUAUCAGAUUCUUGGGUAUUGGAUAUCGCCUGUAGUUCACACCUUUGCAAAUCUUUGCAGGGUCUAUAAGAAGUAAGAAAUCUAAAUAAAGGUGAAUUCGAGCUGUUCGGCAU